CACUCGCCGUCGUCCUCUCUUUUCUCGGUCCAUAUUCUUCGCUCGCGCUUCAGCUUUUCUUCCUCCUUCGCUUUAGGGUUUGAUCUCAUCUUCGGCGAUGGAUGCCUCGUGGUUCCAGGCUUUGGAAGUGGGUUUGGAGUACUGAUAUGACGAUUUCUGCGGACUGCAAUAAUGGAUCGUGCGUUUUCUGCUGUUGGCAGAUAUGCUUAUUUGACAACGAGAGAGAGCACGCCGGUCCAUGAUCAUGGCCGCCGCCAUGGCUGUGUGUACCAGCGUGCUCUUUCUCGUUGUCAACUGGGCGGCUUGCCUUCUUGCGUGAUCGACCAUCUUCUUGGCCCAGGCUCCAGUGCAGGGAUUGAAGUGCCUGAUCAGUGCAUUAAGUAGUUGACAAAAAAAAUUAUGCUUUGGAAAGAAAAUCAGUUGAUUUGGAAAGUAUGAGUUCGCAGUUGGUUUGCUGUGUUUUGGAAAGAAAAUCAUGGUACAUUCAUUGUUGCUGAUUUAUCUUAAGGCAGAAGUGAAAGGGUCAAGGAACUUGAGGAAAUUAGAUUGAACUAUUAGUGAGGUUUACUGAUGGGCCCCCAAGGUAUCCUGUAUCUCUAUAGUGCUAACCUUCAUUACGAAGGAAACAUACUAAUUGUCAUUGUUCUAUCAAGACUAAUAACCAUGAUAGAUGGAAAGACUAACCCAAAUUAUGUCAUCUUGCGGCAUCCCAAUGGAUGUUUCCACCAGUUUCCACCAAGAUGAUUGCUGUUACUUAGAGACAAACUCUGAAGCAACAGAAAGAAGGAGCUGAGGAGCAGGUUUGAUCAGUAGGUAGCUGUGAGAACUAUGCAAUGUAUAAUCUAUCAAAUCAAGAUCUGAAUUCUCAGAGAUAGGUAAAGCAUGAACAUCUAUGUAGAGAGAAAUAAUGAUUAAGCAGUCAUGAGUCCUCCACAUGAGCAACUUCAAGCAGCUUGGGACAAACCAGAAAAGAUGGAUGUGCUACUUAGCAGGAAACAACCAGAAAAGAUGGACAAACCUGAUAUUUCUAAAAUGCACGACCUAUUACUGAAGCUCAAAUCCAUGAUAUUUCAUUAUGAUUUUCUGGGUUUACAAUCUAAAUAGGGCAGGCCAAAGACGUCUGUCAAUUUCUAUUAUGCUUUUGGGGGCUUAACUACAAGCUUGACGAGGGAAAAAUAAGAUGCCUCAAGACCAGGGACCAAGUGAUCCAUUACGGACAAUUGCAUCCGAUGUUUGAUCCGAUGUUUGGGCCAGCACACGGUCGUUCUCCUCAACAGUCAGAGCUGGGACUGAGGGGGACAGCAACUCAGAAUCUCCAACCCAAUUGUUCAAUGUGUGAAUCCCUUUAACAUCCAUGCCAAUGUGACUUACAUGUUGCACAUCCAUUGGGAGCCCAAUCUCCAUCUCCACCUCGUCCUCCCUCUCCAGAGCAAACAGCUGAGCAAAACUCCUGAUCAGCCUCUGAAGGGCUGCAGAUAUGUUGUGUCUCGGCAUAGGAGGAAACCCAAGUGAGUUCUUCAUCCUUGAUCCUUUCUAUGAUCUAUUCGUCUUUCCCUUGUAGGAGAAAAAUUCCAUUAAUCAAACUCUGAAGGUUGAUGCAAUGUAAGGCAUGAGAACUUACUGUGCGAUGGUUGAAAGGAAUUAGAUCUGUGGUUGGUUGCUACCUACUUGUUACUGAUAGCAGGGGCAUUUGUGAGCUCAGUUGUGUUUCUGGGGUACUCUAAUCCUUUUGCUGGCCUUAGAAGCAAAUGAAGAUUUUGAAGACUUCAAAUCGUUUAGGUGCGUAUUCCACUGAUCUUUUUUCUCACGUUAGGAUUUAAAAAAAAAAAUGAAGAUCACACAAAGGAUGUAUAACAUGACAAAAGAUAUGCAUAUGUAAUUUUAUUGUUCUUUCUUAUCUCCCUCCUUCUCUUUCCAAGUUGAUGGAGUUUAAAUGUAUUUCCCUUGAAUGCCCACAUGAAGAUGCCAAGUAUUCAUGAACCA